rnacentral:rRNA from 1 species
GAUGAACGCUGGCGGCGUGCUUAAUACAUGCAAGUCGAGCGAACAGACGAGGCGUUUGCUCGUUGGACGUUAGCGGCGGACGGGUGAGUAACACGUGGAUCCCCUCCUUAUAUGACUGGGAUAAUCACGGGAAACCGGAUCUAAUCCCGGAUAAGCUACUGCACCGCAGGGUGCAAUAGUGAAAGACGGCUUUGGGGGAACGUAUCGAUGCAUCCCCGCUGCAUUAGCUAGUUGGUACGGUAACGGCUUAUCACGGCAAGGAUGCGUAUCCGACCGGAGAGGGGGAUCGGCCACACUGGAACUGGGACACGCUCCAGACUCCUGCGGGAGGCCGCAGUAGGGAAUCUUCCGCAAUGGGCGAAAACCUGACGCAGCAGCGCCGCGUGAGUGAUGAAGGUCCUCGGAUCGUAAAACUCUGUUAUUAGGGAAGAACAAAUGUGUAAGUAACUGUGCACGUCUUGACGGUACCUAGUCAGAAAGCAACGGCUAACUACGUG